UGGGGGAUAUUGCACAAUGGAGGAAACUCUGAUGCAGCGACGCCGCGUGUAGGAAGACGGUCCUCUGGAUUGUAAACUACUGUCUUCAGGGACGAUAAUGACGGUACCUGAAGAGGAAGCUCCGGCUAACUACGUGCCAGCAGCCGCGGUAAUACGUAGGGAGCGAGCGUUGUCCGGAAUUACUGGGUGUAAAGGGAGCGUAGGCGGGAAGGCAAGUUGGAUGUGAAAGCUAUCGGCUCAACCGAUAGACUGCAUUCAAAACUGUUUUUCUUGAGUGAAGUAGAGGCAGGCGGAAUUCCUAGUGUAGCGGUGAAAUGCGUAGAUAUUAGGAGGAACACCAGUGGCGAAGGCGGCCUGCUGGGCUUUUACUGACGCUGAGGCUCGAAAGUGUGGGUAGCAAACAGG
rnacentral:rRNA from 2 species